GUGGUUGUGGAUCAGCGAUAGAGCGCUUGCCUAGCAUGUGCAAGGCCCUGGGUUCGAUCCUCAGCACCACA
rnacentral:tRNA from 1 species